rnacentral:rRNA from 1 species
AUUGAACGCUGGCGGCAGGCCUAAUACAUGCAAGUCGAGCGGAGCGGCGGACGGGCGAGUAAUGCCUAGGAAUCUGCCUGGCCGUUGGGGAUAACGUCCCGUAACGGGCGCUAAUCCCGCAUACUACCAGCUGACCCUAGGUCGUAUUAGCUAGUUGGGGGGGUAAAGGCCUACAAGGGCGACGAUCCAUAACUGGUCUGCGUGGAUGAUCUGUCACACUGGAACUGAGACACGGUCCAGACUCCUACGGGAGGCAGCAGUUGGGAAUAUUGGACAAUGGGCGAAAGCCUGAUGCAGCCACGCCGCGUGUGUGAAGAAGGUCUUCGGAUCGUAAAGCACUUUAAGUUGGGAGGCGGUACCAACAGAGAAAGCACCUGCUAACUUCGUGCCAGCAGCCGCGGUAAUAC